rnacentral:rRNA from 1 species
GACAGAGGGGGCAAGCGUUGCUCGGAAUCACUGGGCUUAAAGGGCGCGUAGGCGGCUCGCCAAGUCAAGGGUGAAAUACUUCAGCUUAACUGGAGAAGUGCCCUUGAUACUGGCGGGCUCGAGGGAGGUAGGGGUCUGUGGAACUUCUGGUGGAGCGGUGAAAUGCGUUGAUAUCAGAAGGAACGCCGGUGGCGAAAGCGACGGACUGGACCUCUUCUGACGCUGAGGCGCGAAAGCUAGGGGAGCAAACGGG